UGCCCUACGGGGGGCAGCAGUGAGGAAUAUUGGUCAAUGGGCGGGAGCCUGAACCAGCCAAGCCGCGUGAGGGAAGAAGGUACAGCGUAUCGUAAACCUCUUUUGUCAGGGAACAAAGGCGGGGACUAGUCCCCGGAUGAGGGUACCUGAAGAAAAAGCAUCGGCUAACUCCGUGCCAGCAGCCGCGGUAAUACGUAGGUGGCAAGCGUUGUCCGGAUUUAUUGGGCGUAAAGCGAGUGCAGGCGGU
rnacentral:rRNA from 1 species